rnacentral:rRNA from 1 species
UUNCACGUGUAGCAGUGAAAUGCGUAGAGAUGUGGAGGAAUACCGAUGGCGAAGGCAGCCUCCUGGGAUAACACUGACGUUCAUGCCCGAAAGCGUGGGUAGCAAACAGGAUUAGAUACCCUGGUAGUCCACGCCCUAAACGAUGUCGAUUAGCUGUUGGGCAGCAUGACUGCUUAGUAGCGAAGCUAACGCGUGAAAUCGACCGCCUGGGGAGUACGGUCGCAAGAUUAAAACUCAAAGGAAUUGACGGGGACCCGCACAAGCGGUGGAUGAUGUGGAUUAAUUCGAUGCAACGCGAAGAACCUUACCUGGUCUUGACAUGUACGGAACCCUCCAGAGACGGAGGGGUGCCUUCGGGAGCCGUAACACAGGUGCUGCAUGGCUGUCGUCAGCUCGUGUCGUGAGAUGUUGGGUUAAGUCCCGCAACGAGCGCAACCCUUGUCAUUAGUUGCCAUCAUUAAGUUGGGCACUCUAAUGAGACUGCCGGUGACAAGCCGGAGGAAGGUGGGGAUGACGUCAAGUCCUCAUGGCCCUUAUGACCAGGGCUUCACACGUCAUACAAUGGUCGGUACAGAGGGUAGCCAAGCCGCGAGGCGGAGCCAAUCUCACAAAACCGAUCGUAGUCCGGAUUGCACUCUGCAACUCGAGUGCAUGAAGUCGGAAUCGCUAGUAAUCGCAGGUCAGCAUACUGCGGUGAAUACGUUCCCGGGUCUUGUACACACCGCCCGUCACACCAUGGGAGUGGGGGAUACCAGAAGUAGGUAGGGUAACCGCAAGGAGCCCG